UACGUAGGUGGCAAGCGUUGUCCGGAUUUACUGGGCGUAAAGAGCGCGCAGGCGGUCGAAUAAGUCGAAUGUGAAAGCCCCCGGCUUAACUGGGGAGGGUCAUUCGAUACUGCUCGACUUGAAGGCAGGAGAGGGUAGUGGAAUUCCCGGUGUAGUGGUGAAAUUCGUAGAUAUCAGGAGGAACACCGGUGGCGAAGGCGGCUUUCUGGACGACAACUGACGCUGAGACGCGAAAGCGUGGGGAGCAAACAGG
rnacentral:rRNA from 1 species